rnacentral:lncRNA from 1 species
UAACACUUAGGCCAACCUUAAAAAUAUGUUUGUUUGCAGUUUCCGACUGUACCUUCAGACUGAAGGGUCGGUAGGUAGGAAAAAUAUUUUAUUUUAUCAGCCAAAAUACAGUUUAAACAAGCAGUUACACUAAACCAAGUUUCUUGUGAAGAAAAAAAAACAUUUUAAAACAACAAACACUGGACAUGCUGAAAACCAACAUCAAAUGAACUGGCAUUUUCAGAUAAAAAACUUUUUAACCAAAACUGAAACUUUAACAUAGUGUCAUUAUCCAAUUUAUGACAUAAAAUAUGGUAUAAUUAUUAAAUACUGGAACACUUAUAAACAAGGAAUGUCAUUAUGACUAGAACUGUUUUAAAGAAAUAUAUUCAGACAUGUAUGCUUCUUGACCAUGUUGACUAGAAUGUUUUCAUGAGUAGAGUAUUUUCAUCAGAAAAAUGUAGAUAUUAAAGAUUUAUAAGACAAUGUAUUAAAGAGUGUAUUUUUAAUAAAAAAAAAAAAAAUAACAAUUGAAUCUUCAAUUGAAAAAAGGCAACUCGAAAAAAAAGUAUUAAGACAUUCGACUGUUUUCAUAUUUCUAACAGUAUUUAAUUAUAUGUGAUAAGGUUAUAUUUUUGCCAGGCUUUAAUGAAAACCAAAGAAAUCUAAAGUUUGGGGUGAAAUCCAUAGCACCC